rnacentral:rRNA from 1 species
AUGCCGACGCCGGCAGCUCAACUAAGCAAAGAUGACCGACACCCGCUGCACCAAUCGGACAAGAACCACCACCCGCCAAGCACUCCGAAGCCUCGCGUACCAAGCAACAUCUUCAAGAAGAAAUGCGACGACGACGCCGCUGCUGCCCGGACAACUCCUACGGUUUCCCCCGAUAUGCGGAUGGCAGUGGGGAAGGGGGUGGACCAGAGGCUGCGCGGCCGCGACGCCGGCCAGCCCAGGAAGAACGACUUCCUCGACGUGCUGCUCGAUGUGGCGGCGCGUGAGGAUGGCAAGGACUUGCUCGACCGUGAGACGCUACGCUCACAUUUCACGGACUUGUUUGCUGCCGGUAGUGACACAAGCUCUAGCACAGUGGAAUGGGCAAUGACUGAGCUUCUCCAAAACCCAUCAUCAGUGGCUAAGGUUUGCGACGAGCUUGCACAAAUUAUCGGCUCAAGAAGAAACAUUGAAGAAGCUGAUAUUGUUCGGUUGCCCUAUCUCCAAGCUGUCAUAAAAGAGACUUUUCGACUCCACCCUCCUGCUCCACUCUUGUUGCCACGCCAACCAGAGAUGACGGUAAAAAUAGCAGGUUGCACAAUACCUAAAGGUUCACGCGUGUUCAUAAACGUAUGGGCGAUAGGUCGAGAUAAAGAUGUAUGGACAGAACCUGAGAAGUUUAUGCCGGAGAGGUUCUUGGGUUUAGUGAUUGACUUUAGGGGUGUGGAUUUUGAGCUCCUUCCAUUUGGUGCUGGGCGUCGGAUCUGCCCUGGAAUGGCCUUGGCAAUUAGGAUGGUGCAUGUGAUGCUUGCUUCAUUAUUAAAUCAGUUUAAGUGGAGUCUCCCCGUUAAUCUGGAACGGGAUGGGAUUGAUAUGGAAGAUCAGUUUGGCCUGACACUACCGAAGGUCGUGCCCCUUUGUAUUAUAGCAACACCCAUUUGA